CCUACGGGUGGCAGCAGUGAGGAAUAUUGGUCAAUGGGCGCGAGCCUGAACCAGCCAAGUAGCGUGAAGGAUGACUGCCCUACGGGUUGUAAACUUCUUUUAUAUGGGAAUAAAGUGAUCCACGUGUGUCUUUUUGUAUGUACCUUAUGAAUAAGGAUCGGCUAACUCCGUGCCAGCAGCCGCGGUAAUACGGAGGAUCCGAGCGUUAUCCGGAUUUAUUGGGUUUAAAGGGAGCGUAGGUGGGUUGUUAAGUCAGUUGUGAAAGUUUGCGGCUCAACCGUAAAAUUGCAGUUGAAACUGGCAGUCUUGAGUACAGUAGAGGUAGGCGGAAUUCGUGGUGUAGCGGUGAAAUGCUUAGAUAUCACGAAGAACUCCGAUUGCGAAGGCAGCUUACUGGACUGCAACUGACAGUGAGGCUCGAAAGUGUGGGUAUCAAACAGGAUUAGAUACCCUAGUAGUC
rnacentral:rRNA from 1 species